AGCUCGGGUGACAAGGAGACAUCAAAGCUGCCCGCGUUGACUGACUACUCCUAAACGUGGCAGACUCUCAUACCCGCUGCACGCUCACUCAGAGAUGAUAACACUACGCCUUCCACUUCAGGCAGGAACAGAGACAGGCAAACAUGUAUGGGCGGGGGGAGCGGGGGGUGUUAGCCCCUCCUUACUGCUGUAAGAGAAGAAGAAAAAAUUGAAAAAGAAAAAAAAGCAGGAGGAAGAAAGCAAAGCAGAGCCAUACGGGCAGUGCUCCUCCGCUGAACUGUAUCUCCUGCCUGUUUAACGGCGGGGAGAAGACACUAUAUGGCGGCGUGCUCCUCCCUCUCCCCAGCCAGGCAGCCUCAUCUGUCAACCAUUAGUUAAUCAGGGCGGGUAACGCACAAGGAGCGCAGAAAACUGGCACAGCGCGUGUGACCCAGAGGACAGCUUCACCUCUGAGAGCAGAGCAGGAGGAGGGCAAGGACCCAGGGGACCGACGGAGUCCUCCACUCUGCACUCUACUACUGCCAGGCUCACUCUACUCAACACUGUCUCAGGAUUGGCAGGCUGCAGUCGCAGGAUGACCCCGCCCAUUCCAUCCCAGAGGACAGCUUUGUCCGUGUCACUGUGGGGAAAAGAAGACGUUUGCAGAGCUCAGAGGGUAAGACAUACGCCAGUGAGCCGUUGCAGGCUGCUUUUACUGUUCAAGGUCCUGUUUUGCAGGGAAGUUUCAAAGACACAAGUCAAAACAACACGUUGUCAACGUGGGAACAGCUGGUAAGGGCAGAGCGUUGUGGUGCGGAGGAAUAUUGGAAUCAUAGAUCUUUCAUCCUCAUGGCCAAAAUAGCCACACACAGGCCUGAUCAUCUCCAUGCAUAGGAAGAAACACUAACCAACACCUCACUAACACAAAUACAGUCCAAUCCAACCCUGGUCAAUGCGGUCCAAAUCUUGCAUCCAGAAAUCUUUAGAUAAUUACUACAUGAGUAAGUAGGUUAUAUUUAUUCAAAUUAACUGGUAUUAACUCACAAAUAGGAUUCCUUCACAAAACAGUUGGUACAAACCAAUGACAUAAGUAUAUUUAGGUACCAAAGGUCAAAAUAGGGACUUUUCUAUAAGGGUCCUUCCACGAAAAAAAUCCCUUUUGCUUUCAUUUGAUAUUUUAAGUAGGAAUUGUACACCAAUAUUGAAUUUUAAAAGCAUGGUAUAUUAAAUUAAGUACCCUUUAAUAUAGACCACAUGGAGAAUUCAAUAAAUAUUAUUUUGUAUAUGAACAAAGACUUGCUG